AUUGAACGCUGGCGGCAUGCCUUACACAUGCAAGUCGAACGGCAGCACGCGGGCUUGCUCCUGGUGGCGAGUGGCGAACGGGUGAGUAACACAUCGGUACAUGUCCUGUAGUGGGGGAUAACCUGGCGAAAGCCGGAUUAAUAACGCAUAAGAACUACGGACGAAAGCGGGGGACGUUCAUACCUCGCGCGAUUGGGUUUGCAGAUGGCUCAUUACCUCGUUGGUGGGGUGAAGGCCUACCAAGACGACGAGCCGUAGCUGGUCGGAGUGGACGACCAGCCACACUGGGACGGAGACGCGGCCCAGACUACAACGGGAGGCAGCAGUGGAGAAUUUUGGACAAGAGGCGAGAACCUGGUCCAACAAUGCCGCGUGUGUGGAGGAAGCCUUCGGGUUGUAAAGCACUUUUGUGCGGAGAGAAAUCCUUGGCUCUAAUACAGAGGGGGGAUGACGGUACCGGAAGAAUAAGCACCGGCUAACUACGUG
rnacentral:rRNA from 1 species